rnacentral:rRNA from 1 species
AGCCGCGAACGGGUGAGUAACACGUGGGUUACCUGCCUCGAUGACCGGGACAACCCGAGGAAACUCGGGCUAAUACCGGAUGUGCCCGCAAGGGGAAAGGAAGCUUCGGCCUCCGCAUCGAGAUGGGCCCGCGGCCCAUUAGCUUGUUGGUGAGGUAACGGCUCACCAAGGCUUCGAUGGGUAGCUGGUCUGAGAGGACGAUCAGCCACACUGGGACUGAGACACGGCCCAG